GAGGGUAGAGCUCAGUGGUAGAGCACAUGCUCAGCAUGCACAAGGUCCUGGGUUCAAUCCCCAGUGCUUCCA
rnacentral:tRNA from 1 species